rnacentral:rRNA from 1 species
UGCGCAGGUGGUUUAACAAGUUAGUGGUGAAAGGCAUAGGCUCAACCAAUGUAAGCCAUUAAAACUGUUUAACUUGAGUGCAGGAGAGGAAAGUGGAAUUCCUAGUGUAGCGGUGAAAUGCGUAGAUAUUAGGAGGAAUACCAGUGGCGAAGGCGACUUUCUGGACUGCAACUGACACUGAGGCACGAAAGCGUGGGGAGCAAACA